GGGUAAGUUUAAGGAUGGGUUAAGGAGUAAGGGAUAGGUCAACAGUGUAAUUGUACAUGUAAUUACUUACAUGCAAUAUGCACGAUGCAAA